GAUGAACGCUAGCGGCAGGCCUAAUACAUGCAAGUCGAACGAGAUUAUGAGGUAAGCUUGCUUAUCUUAUAUGACAGUGGCGCACGGGUGCGUAACGCGUAUGCAAUCUACCUUCAUCAGGGGGAUAGCCUCUCGAAAGAGAGAUUAAUACCGCAUAAAAUUAUUUAACGGCAUCGUUGAAUAAUCAAACAUUUAUGGGAUGAAGAUGAGCAUGCGUGACAUUAGCUAGUUGGUGAGGUAACGGCUCACC
rnacentral:rRNA from 1 species